AUUGAACGCUGGCGGCAUGCCUUACACAUGCAAGUCGAACGGUAACAGGUCUUCGGAUGCUGACGAGUGGCGAACGGGUGAGUAAUACAUCGGAACGUGCCUAGUAGUGGGGGAUAACUACUCGAAAGAGUGGCUAAUACCGCAUGAGAUCUACGGAUGAAAGCAGGGGAUCGUAAGACCUUGUGCUACUAGAGCGGCCGAUGGCAGAUUAGGUAGUUGGUGGGAUAAAAGCGUACCAAGCCGACGAUCUGUAGCUGGUCUGAGAGGACGAUCAGCCACACUGGGACUGAGACACGGCCCAGACUCCUACGGGAGGCAGCAGUGGGGAAUUUUGGACAAUGGGCGCAAGCCUGAUCCAGCAAUGCCGCGUGCAGGAUGAAGGCCUUCGGGUUGUAAACUGCUUUUGUACGGAACGAAAAGCCCUGGGUUAAUACCCUGGGGUCAUGACGGUACCGUAAGAAUAAGCACCGGCUAACUACGUGCCAGCCGCCGCGGUAAAAC
rnacentral:rRNA from 1 species